AUACACUUGUUCGUUUUAUUCUGAGAAAACAUUUUUAACUAAGAAAGUGAAACACAAAAGCACGAAAAAAAACCGCCAAGAUUUAGCGUUGCUGGCCUAUGCACGUGUUCGCAUGCACGCAUACAUAUGUACAUAUGUAUGCAAGAAUACAGCAUAAAAGAAAUGUAUUAUAUAUUUAUAUUAUAUUUAUAUUUAUUAUUUAUUUUUGUAGAAUCUGGAGUGACCUUGUCUUUACUAAAAGAUAUAACAGACGAAGAAUUAAAAGAGGUGAUUCCCAAAUUAGGAGUUCGGAUGGAAUUUAAAAGAGCACUUUGCUCAUGGAAUCAAAGAAAUAACUGUGAGAAACCUUCUAUAACCAAUGACCAUAAGGAAGACCAUGAAAAAAACUUCGUUCUAAAGAAGAGCAUUCGUUCAUUAUUAUCGGAGAAUGAACACGGAAAAGCAUUACUAAAUAAGAACACUUUGCUGGAAGUCGACAGAAGAAAUCAAGAAAUCGAAGUAUAUAACUUUAAUAAACAUUUUCGUGCUUACGAAAUUGGCUGUGCAAAAGAGCUUUUAAUAAAAAAGUUAAGUGAAUUCGA